rnacentral:rRNA from 1 species
CUCUUCUUGUUUAUUGAUUUGAAGUAUGGUCUGCCCACUGACGAUGUUUGAAGGGCCGCGGUAUUUUGACCGUGCAAAGGUAGCGUAAUCAUUAGUUUCUUAAUUGUGAACUGGUAUGAAUGGCUUGACGAGGUGUCAACUGUCUUUGAUUUGGGUUAAUAUUGAAUUUGUUGUUUGGGUAAAAAUACCUGAAUUUUUUUAUGGGACGAGAAGACCCUAUAGAGUUUAAUAUAAGUAUACUCUCCUUGGUUUGUUGAGUCUUGUGGGGUAUUUAUAUUUUGUUGGGGUGAUGGGAAGGUAAAUUUAACUCUUCUUUUUUAAUUUCACUUAUUUGUGUUUUUGUGAUCCUUUAUUACUGAUUAGAAGAUCAAAUUACCUUAG